AGAGUUCGAUUCUGGCUCAGGAUGAACGCUAGCUACAGGCUUAACACAUGCAAGUCGAGGGGCAGCAUUUCAUUUUGCUUGCAAAGUGAAGAUGGCGACCGGCGCACGGGUGAGUAACACGUAUCCAACCUGCCGAUAACUCGGGGAUAGCCUUUCGAAAGAAAGAUUAAUAUCCGAUAGCAUAUCAAUCCCGCAUGAGAUUGAUAUUAAAGAAUUUCGGUUAUCGAUGGGGAUGCGUUCCAUUAGUUUGUUGGCGGGGUAACGGCCCACCAAGACUACGAUGGAUAGGGGUUCUGAGAGGAAGGUCCCCCACAUUGGAACUGAGACACGGUCCAA
rnacentral:rRNA from 1 species